UACGGAGGGUGCAAGCGUUAUCCGGAUUCACUGGGUUUAAAGGGUGCGUAGGCGGGUUGGUAAGUCAGUGGUGAAAUCUUCAAGCUUAACUUGGAAACUGCCGUUGAUACUAUCAAUCUUGAAUAUUGUGGAGGUAAGCGGAAUAUGUCAUGUAGCGGUGAAAUGCUUAGAUAUGACAUAGAACACCAAUUGCGAAGGCAGCUUACUACGCAAUGAUUGACACUGAGGCACGAAAGCGUGGGGAUCAAACAGG
rnacentral:rRNA from 1 species